rnacentral:rRNA from 1 species
AGUGAACGCUGGCGGUAGGCCUAACACAUGCAAGUCGAACGGCAGCACAGUAAGAGCUUGCUCUUACGGGUGGCGAGUGGCGGACGGGUGAGGAAUACAUCGGAAUCUACUUUUUCGUGGGGGAUAACGUAGGGAAACUUACGCUAAUACCGCAUACGACCUACGGGUGAAAGCAGGGGAUCUUCGGACCUUGCGCGAUUGAAUGAGCCGAUGUCGGAUUAGCUAGUUGGCGGGGUAAAGGCCCACCAAGGCGACGAUCCGUAGCUGGUCUGAGAGGAUGAUCAGCCACACUGGAACUGAGACAUGGUCCAGACUCCUACGGGAGGCAGCAGUGGGGAAUAUUGGACAAUGGGCGCAAGCCUGAUCCAGCCGUACCGCGUGGGUGAAGAAGGCCUUCGGGUUGUAAAGCCCUUUUGUUGGGAAAGAAAAGCAGCAGGUUAAUACCCCGCUGUUCUGACGGUACCCAAAGAAUAAGCACCGGCUAACUUCGUG